AUCACCAUAAUCGGGUAUGCAACAAGUCCCCUUACCAGCCCAGAACAGAUGAAUUUCAAGAUAAUUCUCUGACACGCUAACAUUAAAUUUUCUCACAACUGCUCGGUUAACACCACCUGCCUCCUUCGAUAUGUCAAAGUCCUUCGUCAUGCGGGUACCCUAGCAACCAAAUGAAGAGGUAGGUGAUAAUUCUAGUCUCCUUUAAAUCACUGUCUUUAGUUAAUGUAGCUUAAAACAUCGAAAACCUGUCCAAUGAGGUGUUUACUUCAAAUAAGUUAGAAUUUUUAUUCUAUAAGCAGUCUUACCUGAAUAUAGAUAUCAAAUACACGCCGUCCUAGACUUUUCCAAGUUUGCGAAGUGCGACUUUCAUAAACCGUCUCUGCAAAGUGCAAUGUUACAGUGUAUGGCCC
rnacentral:lncRNA from 1 species